ACGGGAGGCAGCAGUGGGGGAUAUUGCACAAUGGGGGAAACCCUGAUGCAGCGACGCCGCGUGAGUGAUGAAGUAUUUCGGUAUGCAAAGCUCUAUCAGCAGGGAAGAAAAUGACGGUACCUGACUAAGAAGCUCCGGCUAAAUACGUGCCAGCAGCCGCGGUAAUACGUAUGGAGCAAGCGUUAUCCGGAUUUACUGGGUGUAAAGGGAGCGUAGACGGUGAAGCAAGUCUGAAGUGAAAGCCCGGGGCUCAACCCCGGAACUGCUUUGGAAACUGUUUGACUAGAGUGUCGGAGAGGUAAGUGGAAUUCCUAGUGUAGCGGUGAAAUGCGUAGAUAUUAGGAGGAACACCAGUGGCGAAGGCGGCUUACUGGACGAUAACUGACGUUGAGGCUCGAAAGCGUGGGGAGCAAACAGGAUUAGAUACCCUGGUA
rnacentral:rRNA from 1 species